GUCUGUGGAGCUAGGGUUAGUGUCAGUUUUUUGAGCUGGAGUGGGUCAGGUGAGUCUU
rnacentral:tRNA from 1 species